UGUGUGUGUGUGUGCGUGUGUGUGUGUGUGUGUGUGUGCGUGUGCGUUCUUUCUUCUUCACUGCUUUGGAUUUGUGUUGAGUUUGGGUAUAAAAGAAGGAAGUAAGUGGAGGCUCGUUGUGCAGGGAAAAGGUGUGAGAGUGUCACUGUUUUGUGUCAGCAAUGCAAAGCAUGUGUGUGUGGUGUGUGUGUGUGUGUGUGCGUGCGCAGCCCCCCCAACCCACACACACACACACACACACACUCGCUCCCCUUCGGUGAGGCAGCAUACUGGUAUGCUUCACUGGCAGUGCGGCCCGGCUGCAAGCUCUGGUUCCACGUCUCGAUGCUCUCUUCUGCCUCACUUCUACCUGCCCCCCCCCCCCCCCCCCCCCCUGUGUGUGUGUGUGUGUGUGUGUAGGGGGGGGGGGGUGGAGCCGUGGCGCAGUGAGGCGAGGCGUGUGCGCCGCGUCGCACCCUGCUGUGUGCUGCAUGUCACCGGGACUCCUUAUUUUAAAUUCUUCUGCACCGGGAGACGUACGCGCGUGCGGACAGGACGCUGGUGAGCAGGACGGUGACUCCGCCUCGGUCACGUGACAAAAGUUGUGACGGCAACUCAUCAUCUCACGUCACACAUGCUACUUGCUAACGUAGCAUUUUGAUCCAAAAUGCUAACAGGCUAAACAGCUGGCUAGCGGUAGCCUUAGAGGGAAAAAGCUAAUGCGAUAGCAUUGCCCGGGCGCUGUUGAGCAAGGCAGCCGGAGGCAGCUGGGCGGCUGUGUGUGUGUCUGUGUGUCUCUAGUGACUUGAGAGCAGCACAGUAAUGUUGAGAGCGUGACCAUGACAGCUCUGUACAUCAUGUGCUCGACCUCAGUGAACCUCACCGGGCCGCCGCGGGGGAAGCGCAGCCGCAUCUGCUUUCUUUUUUUUCUUAUUGCCGUCUGACCACGAGGCCGCCGCCGCCGCCGCCGCCGUGGACGCACAUCUACACGCACAGCGCUUUCCUUAUGAAGAGCAGUUGUAAGUGCGGCCCUGCUGAGAGAUGGAUUCAUCUCAUUCUCUCUUCGCUGUGCAACAAUCCCGGCUUCAUACAGCGCAGCGGGGAUGUCGCCGUCACUCGUCUUCACGGAUGCCAAAAUGCAUCCUGGGUAGUGGCACCGCGUCGUGCACGUUGUAAAACAUAUAAACCGCAUUGUAUGUUCAUUUCAUUAAAAAAAAGAAAUCUUUUCACAAUCCGUCCAUAGUUACGUUUGGAUUUUUCUCACUUGAACUCGUCUCUGCGUCGCUAAUCUGCUGCUUUAGUGAUUCUCUUAUGUAACGGCCCUCUCUCCCUCCCUCUCUCUCUCCCUCUCUCCCUCCCUCUCUCUCUCUCCCUCUCUCCCUCCCUCCCUCUCUCUCUCUCCCUCUCUCCCUCCCUCUUUCUCUCUCUCUCGUCAAUCUAAAUCACUUUUUAUUUAAACGCGCUCGGCUAACCGAGUCGGUAGAGUCUGUACACGGUGUCCUCGCCCCCCCCCCCUCGCUCCCCCCUCCCACACUGAUUGAAUUGCAUUUAUUCAUUUUCAACGGAGGUGAAGGUGAGUUCUCACCUGCUCCGUUCUAACUCUUCGGGUUGGUUCUCUGGCGUCUUCCAGGUGUGCAUGAGCGUUUAACACGCUCCACGUCGCAGCACCUUUGAGCGUCUUUCUCCAGCGUCUCCACAGCAGAUCACUUGGAGCCCCUUGGAGGGGCUCGAGGGGCGGCGUGCAGGCGUGCGUUGCUGCAGGGGUCACGCCCCAAAGCGCCUCAGGUCCCCCCAUUGCCGAGGAGCGGGGCCGACGGGCGCCGCUCCCGGGGGCGACUUCCUCUCUCGCCCUUCACACGCCGCCCUGCGCUCGUCAAUAAUCACAGCUGCUUGGUGCACGUGUGUGUGAUCUGUUAGCAUGUUAGUGUGUGUGUGUGUGUGUGUGUGAUCUGUUAGCAUGUUAGUGUGUGUGUGUGUGUGUGAUCUGUCAGCAUGUUAGUGUGUGUGUGUGUGUGAUCUUGUGUGUGUGUCCCACUAGCAGUCUAGUCAGUGAAACAAGAUGGAGGAGCAGCUCCACGUGGGUUCUCUUCCUGCGCAGGUUAGUGCCCGUUAUCACCUGGGAGGUUAAACCCAGCGGGGGCGGGAGGGGCGGUCUGCGUCUUGGCCGGCUUGAGGGGAGAUUUUAGGACUUUUGGGCUCAUCCAGCGAGUUCAUUGUUACACUAUUAUUAUUUUUUUUACAUUUAGUUUGCAUGCCGAGCGGUUUGAAGGGGGGGGGGGGGGGGUAUCUGUGUAACGCACGCUCUCCCUGACGAUUCCACGUUUUAACUCUUUGGGGCAACACCGAAGAGCUGCGCGCUGAUUGGUCGUCUGCGAUGAGCCGCGCGCUGAUUGGUCGCCGGCGAUGAGCUGCGCGCUGAUUGGGCGCCUGUGCUGAGCCGCGCGCUGAUUGGUCGUCUGUGGGACCGCGUGUUCUGAGAUCUGUGCGAUUUGGGUUCUAUUUUUGUAGGCUGAAGCGGGAAAUGUCGGAAGGAUCAGUAACAGAUCGGUGUGAUUGUUAGAAAUGACUUUUCAGCUCAUUGUUUUUUUCAUGUGAUUAAUUUGUACAUUUGUUUAUUAUUUUGAACCGUCGUUUGGGUUGUUUUUACUUUCACAAAACGGGGAUACUGCGAGAAAGGUCAGACCUCCUUCCCCUUUUGACCUUGCACAAUAAAAGACAGACUCAUACUCAGACUCACUCACUCAUACAGUUUAUGACUUGUUACUAAAACAAAAACAAUUAACCGAUUCAAACCUUUUAUUGAACAAAUUGUUGGCAUAAAUUUGCAUCGAUGCAAUAUGUACAGUUUUUAUUUUUAUUUUUCAUGUCAUCAAUAAUUAUCGUCCUCGUUGUGUGAAGACUUUCUAAAAUAACUUCUAGAUGCUGCCGGAAACUCCUCACUCACAUCUCAUCAAAUGCAAUUCCUUUGUUUUUAUUUUAAACCUCCUCAUUUAUCCUUCAGACCCUUUCGGAUCUGUUCUGCAAUGUUUCUCAUUGUUGUGAAACUCUGUGUUGUUCUGCUUGAUGUUGUAAGUUGUAUGUAAAGUGAACUGCAAUUUGCAAUAAUUUGUCCCUGUGUUUUAUUGAUAAAUGGAGCAUUUCAUGUGUAUUUCUUGCAUCACACUAACCGUCAUCUAUAAGCAGCUUGUACUAUUCAUGAGGAUCAGGACUGGAUAUUAUAUUUUCCAACAACAUAACGUUUGUCCUCCUUGUAAUAAAUAUAGCAGCAUUGGAACGGAGACGUCUAAAGAAAUGUCAUUUCAAACUGCUGUCAAACGUGCUUAUUAUUAGAAGCUCACAAUGAGCUGUUGACAGACACGUCAGCUGCCAUGUUUCAUAUUUCUUCUUCAGAGGUAUUUUUAUCACUUUUCUCGUCUGAUUUAUUCUCUUGGUGUGAUUUAUUUAUUCUUUGUUUCGUUUUCUGCAGAGCUGCCAAGAGACGUACGUUAAUGAAGACGUUAAUUUAUCCGUUAGUUAUAGUUUAGUUACCGUACUACUGUUACAUUACAAACAUUAAUACAGACUUUAAUAAAGGUUUUAAUAAUAUAGACAUUAAUAAAGAUUGUACUCAUGAUGGUUCUUAUCUAUAGCAUGUUGUUAAUUGGCUUAUUUGAUAAAAUUGCACUUUCUUGUUCUUCUGAGUUUGUGUCCUUAUGGUUGAAAUGCACUUAUUGUAAGUUGCUUUGGAUAAAAGUGUCAGCUAAAUUACAUGUAAUUCAUAGAUAUGAAUAUGGACGUUAAAAAAGAUCUUAAUUUAGACGUUAAUAUACACAAUAACGUAGACGUUAAUUAAGACGUUAACAUAGUCGUUGACAAAGAUAUUAAUAUAGAUAAGAAUGUAGACAUUAAUAAAGACGUUAAUAAUAAGAUUACAAA
ensembl:lncRNA